UCGGUGCGUGUGUCAUCACCAUUCGUGAGUCGACUCGAUUCAACAACCCCAGAAGAAUGGUCCAUCAUUUUCAAGACUCCCUACUUUCAAUUUUGCUUUUUGUGGGUUGACGCCAAGCUCACAAAAUAGUCUUCACACAUUGGAAUUUUAUAUAAUAUAAUACAAUCUUUUGUCGAUUCUUGAAUUUUCGAAGGAGCUUGUAAUUUUGUAUUAGCAAAGACCCAUCUCGUAAUUUUGAAGUUCAGCCGAGCUCCUCGGGUAGCUAAACAAAAGUUAAAAGGAAAGAGCAAGAAGAAAAGAAGCCCCCCGCC